rnacentral:lncRNA from 10 species
AAAAAUAAAUGGGAUGACUUUUGCAUCUUUUUUCCUUCAUCGGCCUCUGUUGGAUGUCAUGAUAUUUGGAAGUAAAAUGACUAAGUGGCAGAAAGAUUCAAGGAGGAUAUCACUGGUUGACAAGAUCAACAAUUUCCCUGAACGGUGUAGCAGGAAGGACUUCAGCAGAGCCAACAAGGAAUUCUCAAAAGUAAACUAAGUACCUGGACCCCCAAAGCCCCAGCAAUGGACACAGGACACCAUUCUUGCGCUUCCUUCCCACCACAGACACAGAGAGAAAAAAAAGAUCAAGAGAAGCCAUUCUGGCUCUGCCACAUCCCCACAGCCAGCCCUGUUUUAUUUCAACUGCUUGCUCAAAUUAAACUCACCACACUGGAGUGCAAUCUGCCAGGAGCCAGCUGGGGUGUAUUGUGUUCAGUUGUUCAAAUGUUCAGGCCCGUUCUGGAGGAAUCAGGAAAGCUCCUGUACCAGUGUGGCUCUCUAACAGGAUCUGGAACUGAAGACUAAUUAUUUGGAUGUGGCUUACACUCAAAAGGACAUUUUGAAGUGGUUGAAGAGGAGAAACUUUCCUAACAACUUGUUCAAAGACUCUUUUACUCCAGGGAACAUAGCUAACUGGGAAGAGGGUGGAGGAUCUAGUGCCUUGUCCCAUACUGGAAACACACAGGACAGAAGGCUCCACAACACAGCCUGGCCUUGGGAGGAAGGUAGGAGGUUCUGACUCAGCAGCCAGCUGUGAGAGGUGGAAGAGGACCCUUGAUCUGGGCAAGCAAGGGUUCAGUCCUGCUGGAAAGAUGACUCUUUUACCAAGAGAAUACUGAAUCCCAGAGAAGUCUCAGACUGCAGUACUCUAGGAGUGAAAACCAGUUGGAUGUCUAGAGGAACUCAGCCAGCUGGAUAAGUUCUCAUCUCUCCACCUUUGACAUUGUUGAUGUUCAUCAAGGGUUUGUCUUCCACCCUCUUCUUGGGCAGCACACUCUCCCACAGGGAUCCCAUCUGUUUUUAUAGCUUCCAUUUCCAUCUCUAUCUGUUGCCUCAUGCUGUUUCCCCAGUGACAAACUCAAUAUACAAUUACCUGCUGGGACUCUACCUGGAUACCUGCACAUGAGACCCAACAAAGGAAAAAUAAAC